AUGAGUUUUACAAGUCGUUUUCCUCUUUAGACUUUUAGGUUCUGCAAUAUUGACUCUGACGACUCAUAAUUUUUCACGAGUUAUACAUCAGUCUUUUCGUAUUUUGCCAUUUUCAUGAAAACAUUAUGAAUCUUUAUAUAUAUUACUCGAUUAUAGGAUGAAAUGAGUAUUUUUUUUUAUUUAAGAAUCAGCGAUUAAUUCGGCGAUUUGAAUGCACAGAUUAAACUCUUUAUAUUUUCAACUGAAGUUUACAUACAAAAUAAGACCACUAUUAAAGAACAGGUCACCGAUCGCCACGAUAAACCAUUUCAAAAAAAAAAAAAAAAAAACUUUGUUUAGAUAUAUUGCAAGAGAAACCCAUUUUCAUUUUGAAAUCGACAAUCCAUAUCAGAAUUUCAUUACAAUAAUGAAAAUGUUUUAUAAUAAAAAUGCAUAUCAUCAUUAUAUAUUUUGUAUUAGAUUAUAUAAUCUAGUUACCUUUUAAACUAUAUCAUUAUUACUUUAAAUAUAGUGUUAAUAUCAUCUUGAACAAAGUGUAAGCAUAUAAUAAUACAAGACAGAUUAUGCUAAAAAAUAUUACAUAAGUCAAUCUCACACUCG
rnacentral:lncRNA from 1 species